rnacentral:rRNA from 1 species
GACGAACGCUGGCGGCGUGCUUAACACAUGCAAGUCGAACGGAAAGGCCCUGCUUUUGUGGGGUGCUCGAGUGGCGAACGGGUGAGUAACACGUGAGUAACCUGCCCUUGACUUUGGGAUAACUUCAGGAAACUGGGGCUAAUACCGGAUAGGAGCUCCUGCUGCAUGGUGGGGGUUGGAAAGUUUCGGCGGUUGGGGAUGGACUCGCGGCUUAUCAGCUUGUUGGUGGGGUAGUGGCUUACCAAGGCUUUGACGGGUAGCCGGCCUGAGAGGGUGACCGGCAACAUGGGGACGGAGAAACGGCCCAGACGCCUACGGGGGGAAGCGGUGGGGAAUAUUGCACAAGGGCGGAAGCCUGAUGCAGCAACGCCGCGUGCGGGAUGACGGCCUUCGGGUUGUAAACCGCUUUCGCCUGUGACGAAGCGUGAGUGACGGUAAUGGGUAAAGAAGCACCGGCUAACUACGUG